AAAUUUUGAUUUCUAGACAAUAAUAUAAUUUCUACAAUUCUGGUACUUGAUACACAAUCCCUAUAGGACGAUACUCUACUUAUCACUUUAUUAUUUGAACGAUUUUGUGCACUUGCGAAUUCGCUCAUCGUAUGUAUAAUCUUUAACUGGUUUUAAUUAUUUAUAUGUAUACCAUUAUGCAAUUUGCAGAAUAUCAUACUUAUCUUAAAGGUUGGAAUCAGUAAUGCAUAAUCAAUUGUUUCCUUCUAAUUAUUUUUUGGACAUGGUUGCGCCUUUUUCUUUUUCUUCUCAAUCUACAUUGUGGUGAUCGGAUAUAUUGUUUAAUGGUACUUUUAUUGUGUUUAAAAUGGUU
rnacentral:lncRNA from 1 species